rnacentral:rRNA from 1 species
AGGCCGAAAGGCGUAGUCGAUGGGAAACAGGUUAAUAUUCCUGUACUUGGUGUUACUGCGAAGGGGGGACGGAGAAGGCUAUGUUAGCCGGGCGACGGUUGUCCCGGUUUAAGCAUGUAGGCUGAUUGUCCAGGCAAAUCCGGAUAAUCAAGGCUGAGGUGUGAUGACGAGGCACUACGGUGCUGAAGUAACAAAUGCCCUGCUUCCAGGAAAAGCCUCUAAGCAUCAGGUAACAUCAAAUCGUACCCCAAA